GGAUUAGCGGCGGACGGGUGAGUAAUGCCUAGGAAUCUGCCUGGUAGUGGGGGAUAACGUCCGGAAACGGGCGCUAAUACCGCAUACGUCCUGAGGGAGAAAGUGGGGGAUCUUCGGACCUCACGCUAUCAGAUGAGCCUAGGUCGGAUUAGCUAGUUGGUGGGGUAAAGGCCUACCAAGGCGACGAUCCGUAACUGGUCUGAGAGGAUGAUCAGUCACACUGGAACUGAGACACGGUCCAGACUCCUACGGGGC
rnacentral:rRNA from 1 species